rnacentral:rRNA from 1 species
AUUCCUACGGGAGGCAGCAGUGGGGAAUCUUGGACAAUGGGCGCAAGCCUGAUCCAGCCAUGCCGCGUGAGUGAUGAAGGCCUUAGGGUCGUAAAGCUCUUUCGCCAGGGAUGAUAAUGACAGUACCUGGUAAAGAAACUCCGGCUAACUCCGUGCCAGCAGCCGCGGUAAUACGGAGGGGGUUAGCGUUGUUCGGAAUUACUGGGCGUAAAGCGCGCGUAGGCGGACCAGAAAGUUGGGGGUGAAAUCCCGGGGCUCAACCCCGGAACUGCCUCCAAAACUCCUGGUCUAGAGUUCGAGAGAGGUGAGUGGAAUUCCGAGUGUAGAGGUGAAAUUCGUAGAUAUUCGGAGGAACACCAGUGGCGAAGGCGGCUCACUGGCUCGACACUGACGCUGAGGUGCGAAAGUGUGGGGAGCAAACAGGAUUAGAUACCCUGGUAGUCCACACCGUAACGAUGAAUGCCAGUCGUCGGGUAGCAUGCUAUUCGGUGACACACCUAACGGAUUAAGCAUUCCGCCUGGGGAGUACGGUCGCAAGAUUAAAACUCAAAGGAAU